rnacentral:rRNA from 1 species
UACAUGCAAGUCGAGCGGAGAUGAAAAGCUUGCUUUUCAAUCUUAGCGGCGGACGGGUGAGUAACACGUAAACAAUCUACCUUGUAGACUGGGAUAACAUCGAGAAAUCGGUGCUAAUACCGGAUAAUAACUUUAUCCGCAUGGAUAAAGUUUGAAAGUUGGCUCCGGCUAACACUACGAGAUGAGUUUGCGGCGCAUUAGCUAGUUGGUGAGGUAACGGCUCACCAAGGCAACGAUGCGUAGCCGACCUGAGAGGGUGAUCGGCCACACUGGGACUGAGACACGGCCCAGACUCCUACGGGAGGCAGCAGUAGGGAAUCUUCCGCAAUGGACGAAAGUCUGACGGAGCAACGCCGCGUGAGUGAUGAAGGCCUUCGGGUCGUAAAGCUCUGUUGUUAGGGAAGAACAAGUAGUAUUCGAAUAGGGUGCUACCUUGACGGUACCUAACCAGAAAGCCACGGCUAACUACGUGCCAGCAGCCGCGGUAAUACGUAGGUGGCAAGCGUUAUCCGGAAUUAUUGGGCGUAAAGCGCGCGCAGGCGGUUCCUUAAGUCUGAUGUGAAAGCCCACGGCUCAACCGUGGAGGGUCAUUGGAAACUGGGGAACUUGAAUGCAGAAGAGGAAAGCGGAAUUCCAAGUGUAGCGGUGAAAUGCGUAGAGAUUUGGAGGAACACCAGUGGCGAAGGCGGCUUUCUGGUCUGUAAUUGACGCUGAGGCGCGAAAGCGUGGGGAGCAAACAGGAUUAGAUAC